UGCAAGUCGAACGGUGAUGCGGAGCUUGCUCCGCGGAUCAGUGGCGAACGGGUGAGUAACACGUGAGUAACCUGCCCUUGACUCCGGGAUAAGCGUUGGAAACGACGUCUAAUACUGGAUAUGACUUCGGACGGCAUCGUUCGGGGUGGAAAGAGUUUCGGUCGAGGAUGGACUCGCGGCCUAUCAGCUUGUUGGUGAGGUAAUGGCUCACCAAGGCGACGACGGGUAGCCGGCCUGAGAGGGUGACCGGCCACACUGGGACUGAGACACGGCCCAGACUCCUACGGGAGGCAGCAGUGGGGAAUAUUGCACAAUGGGCGCAAGCCUGAUGCAGCAACGCCGCGUGAGGGAUGACGGCCUUCGGGUUGUAAACCUCUUUUGGCAGGGAAGAAGCGAAAGUGACGGUACCUGCAGAAAAAGCACCGGCUAACUACGUGCCAGCAGCCGCGGUAAUACGUAGGGUGCAAGCGUUGUCCGGAAUUAUUGGGCGUAAAGAGCUCGUAGGCGGUUUGUCGCGUCUGCUGUGAAAACGCGAGGCUCAACCUCGCGCCUGCAGUGGGUACGGGCAGACUAGAGUGCGGUAGGGGAGAUUGGAAUUCCUGGUGUAGCGGUGGAAUGCGCAGAUAUCAGGAGGAACACCGAUGGCGAAGGCAGAUCUCUGGGCCGUAACUGACGCUGAGGAGCGAAAGCGUGGGGAGCGAACAGGAUUAGAUACCCUGGUAGUCCACGCCGUAAACGUUGGGCGCUAGAUGUGGGGACCAUUCCACGGUCUCCGUGUCGCAGCUAACGCA
rnacentral:rRNA from 1 species